UAUCUUCACAAGAAAGAUAGUACAUUAUGCUAUGCUAUUUCCCAUUUUCACUAUUAAUUCUUUGUUACCUUAGGCAAGCCAUAUUGGAGAAAAAUUUAAUAAUAAGACGAGAGGUGACUUGAGAAGAACAUGCUUUUUACCUCUUGAUUCUUUUCAGCUGUUAAAAAUUGAGAUGUGCAGCUGCCAAGUUACCAUCCACAG